GCGGGCCGCAGGUUUAGUCCUGGCUGUGGAGUGGGAUGCUGAGAUGGGUCUGGAGGGAUGCAGGAUGUUCUAGUCCCAGUUAGGAUGAUAAAUAGGGACCUCGCUCCGAGAGGGAUGCUGAACGGAGUCUGGAAGAAUGCAAGAUGUCCUGGUCCGGGCCAGGAAUGGUUACAUGGAUAGUGGGAUGUCAGAAGGGGGAUUGUAGUGAAUCACCCUUCUAUCCAAUCAACUGACAACACAGCAAUGAUCCCACAUCAUCCCAGCCAGGGUUGGUGCCCGUGCUGAGCAGCUACUGGACAGGAGCUGGAUGUCAGAUCCCUGGGAGGAUAUGAGAGGAUGUUUCCAGAAAGACCGAACUAAAAAGAAAAGUCCAGCCCUGAAUGUGGAGGACAUCCUCCCCUGGGCUGGGCUCCCAGACUGAGUAAGAAGAAAAUAAGUUGAGCUCGCUCCCCCUCUCCCCUCCCCCUCCCCACUCCCUCUCUGCUGUAGAUACAAUGUGACCAGUUACCAG
ensembl:processed_transcript 2010001A14Rik RIKEN cDNA 2010001A14 gene